AGAGAGAGAGAGAAGAGUUCGUUUCUCUUCCUAAAAGAUGCAUAAUAUAUAUAUGUAUAUGGAGUCUUCUUAAUUAGUUGGGUUAUAUUAGUGAGAUAACAUUAGUUAGGUGUAUUAUGAUAAGAUUUAGUGCUUAAGAGUAACAAUGGCAUUGACUCUUUUUUGUUCAUACAUACAUAUUUUCCAUGCACGGGUCGACUCGUGUGUUAUUUUCACUCUUCUUUUGCUGGCUCUCUUUCACCUGUUUCUUUGACCUGAGAAAGCAAGCAGCAAAGCAAGACGCGUGAAUUCGGGGAUAUCUUGGCUAAAUUCCACAAGCAUGUGGCAUUGAAAUCUAUGUUGGUGGGCGGUGGACCUCAGUCGUAUUUAAUCCGAGGGAGGGAACGCCAAUCCUCCAACCCCCCCAAAGAAAGAAGAAGAAAUGAAUUAGUCCAAACAGACACUAUGUGUAUGUGUACGUGUGUGUGUGUGAAGAGAUGGAUGGGAAAAGUCAACAGUGUCAUGGAGGUGGUGGUAGUCUAAGUUGGAGUGCUCAUGAUGUUUACAGAGCAAUCGUGCAUUCAAUGGAUGUGUGUGUGGUGGUGGUGGUGGUGGUGGUGGUGGUGAUUUCAAAGGUCGGAUGAGAGCAACCCACUAAGUGGAAUGGUCCCUUGAAGACAUAAAUUAUGAUAAGCUUUGUCCCAUCAAUUCUGGGGUCAUCUGCCUACGUUUUUGGGCCAUCUCAUUACUUCCCUUGUUCCUCCACAUGGGAGACCACCACCACCUCUGGGGAGGGGAUCCAAUAACUGCGGUGCCACCUGCCUCUCUCUCUCUGUCUCUCUCUGUCUCCCUCAGUUUCAUUGCACCUGGUUCUUGUUAUUUCCUUCGAGUUCAUUUUGCAGCAAUAUUCUUCAAAAUGUUCACUGGGAGUUAAAAAGAUGAUGUGGUUGCCAUUUCUUUAGGCAAAUUAAAUCCUGUCCCUUUGUGGAUUUUGAUCCAUGUGUUUGGCAACUCUCUUCUCUGUGAGUUCUUCAGUUGAUUGGCAGCAGCAAAACAUGCAGAUGCUGCAAACAGGAGCCUGCAAUCAUAGCCAAGUAAGUAUACUGAAUUCAUCUUUGUUCUAAGCUUGAAUUCUGACUGUUUCAGGAAAGACUUCCUGUGCUGUAACCUUCCUUCCUUAGGAUGAUGCUGUGGAAACAGAAGCUUGUUUCUCACAUUCUGCUGUUACUUUCACAUAUAAUUAUAACACAGCUUCAUCA